AGUCAUCUGGGUCCCCUUCCCUCAAUCACCCACGGAAAAGACACUCAAAUUUCAUCGAUCAAAAAUUCAAAUUCCACCACCAAACAACUCAGACUUUCCAAAUUCCGACAACCAGUAACCCCACACUCUCUCUCCACCACCACGCACAACCACCAAAUCCUCUCUCCUCCUCCAUGAUCUGAUCAUCAACCCAAAAAUGUCAGCUCUAAUCUACCAAAUAUUCACCUCCUCAGCGCUACUCUCCCUCGGCCUCUACCACCUCAUCUCCACCGUCCGCAACUUCCUCAAAUCCCCUCAAACCUUCUCCGCCAAACCAUUCCACCCACUUUCUAUCUCCUCCUCCUCUGCCGCCUCCCACCUUCGGCUCCUCCCCCUCUACCUCACCAUCGCCGCCCUCUCCACUGCCUUCCUCCACUCUACCCUCUCCUCCGCUGACCCCGACCCUUUAAUCAAAGGCCACUCCCCCGUCCACCACUUCACAUCCCUUCAAUCCGCCGCCGUCUCCUUCCUCUUCCUCCUCCUCUGCCUCUCUCUCCUCCUCUCAGAAUCCACCUCCCUUUUCUCUCUCCUCCCAUCUGACCUCUUCUUCGCGCUCGCCUCCGCUGCCUUCUUCCUCGCCUCCUCCGUCUCCUCUUCCCGCGCCGCCUUACAAACCUCCGAUCUCCAGUCCCGCUGCGAUUCUCUCUCCUCAACCAUCUCCCUCCUCUCCUCCCUUCUCUGCCUCGCUCUCGCCCUCUUCCCCCGGCUUUUUGUCUGCGAUGUUUGUCUUGCCGCCUCGGUCUGCCUCCAUGGAUUGUGGGCUCUGCAAACUGGGCUUUCCCUCUACGUUGAGGCCUUCAUUCCUGAAGGAUGUCACCGCCUUCUUGACGUUGUGAGUGGUGUUGAAGGGUCUACGAAGUGCGAGCUUGAGGACUCCAAGCUUCGAGCCGUCGCCAUUCUCGAUUUGGCCUUUGUUAUUCAUGUUGGAAUGUCUAUGAUCCUAAUUUUUCUAGUUUACGCAGUGGUUUCGAAGGCGCUAGGCGUUUCGAGGAGAUUUGGGUCUUAUGAGGUUCUGCCUACUGCUGCUGAAAAUACUCAUGUGCAAUUGAAAACUUUGAGUGGAACUCAGGCUUGAUCUUCAAUUUGGAAGCUAAAAUUUGAUGAUUACCCUUGGAUCCAUCAGAAAGUCUAUUCUGAAACUUUUGGUAAAUGGUGAGGCCAAAAUUGUUGACGUGGUGACCAGAUUGGCGAGCCGUAUAGUCUGAUAUCAAAUUUAGUCUUAUGUCUAAAAGGUUGGUAUAUCUUGUGCAAUAGUUCGAGUAAACAGACCGCAAUUCGUAGAGAGGACUUGAUUAAUGUGGAUAUGAAGUCCCCCUAAAUGUGAGCCCAUCCCAAAACACGCCUCAACCAGCAGCCAUGGAGAAAUAUAAAAGAAAAGAAUGGUGGUGUGUUGUGUUGUGUUCUUCUGUGCCUCUGUUAUGCUAACUUAGAGCAUAUGUACAAUUGAGCUUUGUACCCUGCUUUGAAAGCGAAAUUUUGUUGGAACUUCAAUCAUCACAGGUGUUUGGAUUGAUUUCUCAUUGAUAUAUUAUUGCCCAGUGAAAUUUUUUAACUCUCUGGACAAUUGCUCCAUUAAAUCAGAAAGCAUUGUUUUUUCAA